rnacentral:tRNA from 1 species
CUGACUUGGAGAAGGAGAAGAAAAAUUGUGUUUUUAUUUAUUUUUAGAUUAAGGUUACAAUGAACAUUUCAUCACCGCCAUUAGGGUGCAGGUGGAAAAUAUGGGGUGUAGUAAGAAACUGCCCCUUAUUUGUCCUUGACCCAACACAAACAAAAACUAAUAAUAAAUAAUGAUUUGCACGCAUUUUCUGCGUUUGGUUGGAGACAGGAGCCAGAAGCGCGUCGAUCAACUAGCCACACAAUAACCAGGACGAUGAGGAUCUUCGGCAAACACGUUUUCCCGAGCCAGAUUAUACUUUUUGCUUCUGGGCUUUUGUUCUUUGCAUCAACAACCUAUGAUGUCCAUAGAUCCAUCAAGAACAACCAAACACCCCCUUCCCAAGAACAAGUGAAAGCCCUUCAAGACUACAUCGAAUCUGCGCGUCGCUCCCGUUAAAUCAACGGCAUGUAUUUUGCCACGUCAUCUUAUCAACACAUGCUUUAUAAUGUGAACUUCACAUUCUUGGCAUAUGAGCUAUUUUGAGCAAAAAAAAAAAAGUGGUUUUAUCUGUAAGAAAGUGAAAAAUAAGCUAAGUUCGUGUUCUGAUCCAGAAAAAGGUAAACAAAAUAAAAAUAAUGGCCCAUGCAGGUCUCGAACCUGCGACCUUCGCGUUAUUAGCACGACGCUCUAACCAGCUGAGCUAAUAGGCCCUUUUGUAAUAAGUAACGUGUUCUCUAAAUUUAUCCUAUUUCAAUCAUUUAAAUAUUCUCCAAAUUUCAUGUAAUUUCUGGAAAGUGUAUCUUUAAAAAACAAUUAUCAAUUUUCCAUCUGUCAAAUAACUUGCAGCAGUGUGACUUUAAAAUAG